rnacentral:lncRNA from 1 species
CUCCAGACUUGAGACAGGCACACAAAUGUGGCAGGAUUAAACAUGUUUUGUGAGAUCUCAACCAUUGUCAACCCUCUCCUAUACAUCUAUAGCCAAUGUAAAAUAAACAAACACACAGCAAUUAAUGAACAUACAUCAUUCAUUUUGUCAUUUGUACAUGUACAUUUUUUUUCUUUUGAAAGUACAUUGUUAUCAGCAAAAACUAUUGUCAGUAUAUUGAGAUUGCAUUGUACAAUGUUGUCUGGCAUAACAAAGGGUUCAGAAGUUUAGUUAACAAUUUUUGUUUUGGCUUAUAACAUGUAUAAGGGAGCUACCAUUUGAUUUUUAUGGGGGGGGGGGGGGGGGCUAGGAUGAAAAAUUUUGUCCUGCAUUUUUUUUAGCUGUAAUCUCUGUCCUGCCAUGUGCCUGCCUUUUUAUUUUUUCACUCUGUUCAGUCCUGCCUUUUUUUUUUUAGUUUAUCCUGAGUUUUUUUUACUUAAAUUGUCGUGACUUUUUUUUUUGCAAGUGUCUCAUCCUGCCUUUUUUUUUACUCAAAACUCCUGUCCUGCCUAUUUUUUUUUCAAAUUUCAUCCUAGCUCUCCCAUAAAAAUCAAAUGGUAGCUCCCUAAUAACUCAAAAUACUACAAUGAACUUUUUUUUAGGACAUUGUCACAAGGAAGUAUAAUAUACCUCUUUGGUUGUCAUGAUUGUAUAAUUGUCAAUACACCUACAUGCAUAAAUGUAUAUUAUUUGUAUAUAUGUAUAAUCAAAGUAGCAUGAAUAUUCACAAGUUAAUUUAUGCUGCUGUAUGCAUACUUCUUUGAACUUUCCAGUGGAUUUGUGACGAGUGAACCAACACCUUCUAACGGAAAAGCUGGUAGAGUAACCAAGAUGGAUACCGAAGUAUGCUGCGGUUGUCUUAAAACCUCAUGGAAAUAUAAUAUGUAGA